UGUAUGUUUGUGUGUGAUAUGUGUACACAUAAACACACUAACACAUACAUAUAUGUAUGUGUAUGUAUGAACAUUUCUCUCACUCUGUGUGUGUUGUGUGCCAAAAUUGGUUCAAUUGAAGUUGAUUACUUUUCUAUUAAGUACUCAAUGAAAAUAUAAGCAUAGAGUUUCAUGGCUUCUUUAAAAUAUAAAAGUAUGCGUUUCAAUCAUUUACAUCGUCUGUCUUUAUGGUAGUUCUCACAGCUCGACGCUAAGGGGUUGUUUAUGAAUAAUUAGGGUUUAUUACACAGUGCAGUCUUGUUAAGGUUACUAGAAUUGUAAAUCGAUGGCUGCAAGCUCAUUUCCAGCGUGGAGUAGGGUUUCCAGAGGAGAUAUGUUCUGGAAUGACAGACUUUGCGUAGCAUUUGGGUAAGACCUGUUUAGUAUAUGUGAGAAAGUAAGAGAGGGAAACGAGGGAAAAACAGAAAAAUUAUAGAGAAAGGAGGGAAGGAGAAACAGAGAGAGAGAGAGAAGGAAGGUAAAGAUUAAAAAGAGAGAGAGAGAGAUAUAUGUAUAUAUGUG